GAAUAUUGGACAAUGGGGGCAACCCUGAUCCAGCAAUGCCGCGUGUGUGAAGAAGGCCUGCGGGUUGUAAAGCACUUUCAGAGGGGAAGAAAAAAUCGGAGCCAACACCUCCGGUCUUGACGUUACCCUUAGAAGAAGCACCGGCUCACUCAGUGCCCGCAGCCGCGGUAAUACGGAGGGUGCAAGCGUUAAUCGGAAUUACUGGGCGUAAAGCGCGCGUAGGUGGUUGGUUAAGUUGGAUGUGAAAGCCCCGGGCUCAACCUGGGAACUGCAUCCAAAACUGGCAAGCUAGAGUACGGUAGAGGGUGGUGGAAUUUCCUGUGUAGCGGUGAAAUGCGUAGAUAUAGGAAGGAACACCAGUGGCGAAGGCGACCACCUGGACUGAUACUGACACUGAGGUGCGAAAGCGUGGGGAGCAAACAGG
rnacentral:rRNA from 1 species